UACGUAGGGUGCAAGCGUUAAUCGGAAUUACUGGGCGUAAAGCGUGCGCAGGCGGUUUUGUAAGUCUGUCGUGAAAACCCCGGGCUCAACCUGGGAAUUGCGAUGGAGACUGCAAGGCUUGAAUCUGGCAGAGGGGGGUAGAAUUCCACGUGUAGCAGUGAAAUGCGUAGAGAUGUGGAGGAACACCGAUGGCGAAGGCAGCCCCCUGGGUCAAGAUUGACGCUCAUGCACGAAAGCGUGGGGAGCAAACAGG
rnacentral:rRNA from 1 species